GGGAUGCCGGUGGUGGCAGAUGCUUCCUCCUGGCCAAAUCCCAAAUCCCACCCUCAGCACCCACACCCUGAGCAGUGGGCAGGAGAGGCCUGAAAACGUCUGUACAAAUGGCUUCCGAGAAGCCCUGGAGAUAAAGGAGCCAGAGGCAGCCACACAUGGUUCCCAGAAGCUGAAUGCUGCGCAGACGACAGGAAUGACUUCACCCAUCCUGCUUCCACCCGCCAUAGCAGUGACCAAAGCAGCACUGGGACCACAGCUGAGCACCUCAGAAGAUAAGUCCUGGGGUGAUUCUUGUCAUCUCCGUGAAAAGGAGAAGACAAAAAGGCAGAGGCUGCUGCUUGAGGAUCCCUUCACCUGGGCUGCAUAGCUCACCCAUGCUGACCAACUUCCCCAUUUCAAGCUUCAGACUCACAGCCGCGCUAGUUAGGGUACCACUUGUUCAGACAGCUGUUUUCAUUCACAUCUCCAAAGGUCCUCUACCUUAGAAGAAGAAAGAAAGAGGGAAAGAGAAAUAAAAGAGAUUAAUUAAGAACACUGGGGCCAGGCGCAGUGGCUCACACCUGUAAUCCCAGCACUUUGGGAGGCUGAGGCAGGCGGAUCACCUGAGGUCAGGAGUUGGAGACCAGCCUGGCCAACGUGGCAAAACCCCAUCUCUACUAAAAAUACAAAACUUAGCCAGGCAUGGUGGUGGGUACCUGUAAUCCCAGUUACUUUGGAGGCUGAGGCAGGAGGAUGGCUUGAACCUGGGAGGCAGAGGUUGCAGUGAGCCGAGAUCAUGCCAUUGCACUCCAGCCUGAGUGACAAGAGACUCUGUCUCAAAAAUAAAAACAAAAAACAAAAAAACAAAAUCACACACAUCUGAACCCGCAGUUUCAUAAAUGGUAAAUAAAAAUGCCAUGCACCACGAAUCAGAAAUAACGUGGCUCUGGGUUGGCGUCUCUCCCCCACCAACCAGGGAACGAAUGCACCCCUUCGCCAGGGGCAGCAGAGAGAGGUGGCUCUGUCUUCCUGCCUGCAUCCUCCUGUUUCAUCAUCCAGGUUCUGUGUGGCCCAGCGGCCUGGGGCUCUUUUGUUUGCCCCCUCCCUGCCCUCCAUCAGGGGUGCCUAAUGGGGCUCCCGAGUGCUCUUCCACUGUCAUCUAUCCCCCUCCUUUGUGUCCUGAGCCCUCCACGAGCUCAUGUGUGAGCUUGAAGAUCAGACACCACAGACACUCUUCCCCACUCUGCCUCAGCUGCCAAACCCGGAGAAGGAAGGACGGAUCAGACACCAAGACAGAAAAACAGAGUACCUGAGAAAGGCAGAGAGCUGUCUCCUGCCUCAGCCCCCAGAGGCCCGUGUGCCCCUCACUUCCCUCCUUUGAUUCCCACCAUCUGGGGUCUACCUCUGAAUUGACAAACUCUUGCUCGGUCACAUCUGGUUCAAGAGAAAGAAACAAGGAGUUUGGAAACCUAAACUAAUAGGCAGCACUUGGCACGCACAAUAGAAGCAGCUGCUGUUUAUAGCCCUUUUUAAGGGUGGCCUCAGGCCGGACCUCACACUUCCC
rnacentral:lncRNA from 1 species